GCUUCCUUAGCUCAGUCGGUAGAGCGCGAGUCUCAUAGCUAUGAGGAGCGAUUUGCUUUCAUAAUCUCGAGGUCGCAAGUUCGAGCCUUGCAGGGAGCA